GCAGCAGUUGUUGUGGUUGCAGCAGUUGUUGUGGUUGUAUCUGGUGUUGUGGUUGCAGCAGUUGUUGUGGUUGUAUCUGUUGUUGUGGUUGCAGCAGUUGUUGUGGUUGCAGCAGUUGUUGUGGUUGUAUCUGGUGUUGUGGUUGCAGCAGUUGUUGUGGUUGCAGCAGUUGUUGUGGUUGUAUCUGUUGUUGUGGUUGCAGCAGUUGUUGUGGUUGUAUCUGGUGUUGUGGUUGCAGCAGUUGUUGUGGUUGUAUCUGGUGUUGUGGUUGC